rnacentral:snoRNA from 1 species
UUGUGCCAUUUGGUAUCUGACUCAUUGUCUACUUUUGUGACUAUGUGUCUCGAAAUAUGGCAUAUAAUAAGGGGUAACGGAUCUUGCGACAUUGAUGGCUCCUGUAUGAG